rnacentral:rRNA from 1 species
GACAGAGGGUGCAAACGUUGUUCGGAUUUACUGGGCGUAAAGCGCGUGUAGGCGGCCUUGCAAGUCGGAUGUGAAAGCCCACGGCUCAACCGUGGAAGUGCAUCCGAAACUGCAUAGCUUGGGUCUCGGAGAGGAAGGUGGAAUGCUUGGUGUAGAGGUGAAAUUCGUAGAUAUCAAGCAGAACACCUGCGGCGAAGGCGGCCUUCUGGACGAUGACUGACGCUGAGACGCGAAAGCGUGGGGAGCAAACAGG